GCUUAGCAUAUAUUAUUGAUGUUGCAGUUAAAACGUUCGUAGUCGAUUUUUAUCUGUCAAUGUAUGUAAAUUCUUCGAAUUUAUCAUACUGUCGAUAGAUAAAGUAUAACUUACAUCAACAUAUAUUCAUAUGUUGUUGUAUGUUAUACCUUACUUUGAGUGAAUCGGCGUGUUUCACGCAGGCGUUUGCCUUGAACGAUUUACCAUAGUAUGAAUAUAUUAUAACAAUAUUCUUAUGUUUGUUCGGGAAUAUAGUUUAUAAUAAUAGGAACGGUUGAGGGCAUUCAUAUUCAACUGCCAGAGGUGAAAUUCUUUGAUUAGUGGAGGAUGAACAAUGGCGAAAGCAUUUGUCAAGGACGUUCCCGUUGA
rnacentral:rRNA from 1 species